ACUGCUCAGUAACACGUGGAUAAUUUGCCCUUAGGUGGAGGAUAACCUCGGGAAACUGAGAAUAAUACUCCAUAGGUCUAGGAUGCUGGAACGCACUUAGAUUGAAAGUUCCGGCGCCUAAGGAUAAGUCUGCGGACUAUCAGGUUGUAGUCAGGGUAAAGUCCUGACUAGCCUACAACGGAUACGGGUUGUGAGAGCAAUAACCCGGAGACGAUAUCUGAGACACGAUAUCGGGCCCUACGGGGCGCAGCAGGCGCGGAACCUUCACAAUGUGCGAAAGCACGAUGAGGGAAUCCCAAGUGCCAGCUCGUAAGAGUUGGCUGUUUUUCUGUUUAAAGUGCAGAGAGAGUAAGAGCUGGGUAAGACGGGUGCCAGCCGCCGCGGUAAUACCUGCAGCUCAAGUGGUGGCCGCUAUUAUUGGGCCUAAAACGUCCGUAGCCGGUUUAGUAGAUGCCUGGGUAAAUCGUGUAGCUUAACUAUACGAAUUCUGGGUAGACUGCUAAACUUGGGUCCGGGAGAGGCUAGAGGUACUCCUGGGGUAGAGGUGAAAUUCUGUAAUCCUAGGGGGACCACCAGUGGCGAAGGCGUCUGGCUAGAACGGGUCUGACGGUGAGGGACGAAGCCCUGGGGCGCAAACCGGAUUAGAUACCCGGGUAGUCCAGGGUGUAAACGCUGCUUGCUUGAUGUUAGUUGGGCUCCGAGCCCAACUAGUGUCGGAGGUCC
rnacentral:rRNA from 1 species